CAUAGUUCCUUCCUCUUGGUAUGUCGAGAAGGGUUAUGGAUUGGACAAAACAUAGUGUGCAAGGAACCAGAUGUAGAAUGCAACCCACCAAUCAUACCGGCUGUUUCAUCUGUCGAGAAUUUAAGACCUCGCUACAAGGUCGGCGACGAGGUCAACGUCACUUGCAACGGCGACUCUGAUUGGUUCAUUUGGGAAUGUCACCGGGAUGGUAAAUGGCGGGGAAGGGCCAUUGAUUGCCCUAUUCCAAGACCAUCCCUUGGCCAUGUUAGUCCCGUUCCAGGAAAUACUGCAGAUAGAAAAGCCGAGGAGAGCAGAGGUUUCUUAACUACGGCCCUGCUUGUAACUGCGACGAUCAUUUUCGUUUUGGUGUUGAUGUCAAUGGCAGGCUUCUCGAUCUUCGU